AUGUGUGCAGGACUGAAGAGAAUCCUAGAAAGGCAACAAAUGCUGAAAUCAACAAAGAGAAGUUCAGGUAUCCCAUCAAAUAGAAAAUCAAACCAUAUCAAUGAGAAGUUGACAGUGCAUACAUCUGAUUUGAAGAAUGAACACCCAAGUAUUUUUUUUUAAUUAAUUAAUUAAUUAUUUACUCAUGCACUGUUGACCAUCUUGCAUAAUUCGUUCCUUGUAUACGUGGUCAGAUUCCUCUAUCAAGUGAGGAAAUGUUCUGCCACAGAGAGAUUAAAAUGUUUCUUUCCUAGAAAUUAUGUUUAAAAAAAAGACAGAAAGGGGGCAAAAGGCAUACAUCGAAAUUAUUUUUCUCGUGCAAAUGCCCAUGCUGGCCCUGGGGAUACAAGAGGAAACAGAACAAACAUUCCUGUUCCCUUGACAUCUAUAGUCUAGAGAUAGAUAUUAAUCAGAUAGAUAGAUAGAUAGAUAGAUAGAUAGAUAGAUAGAUAGAUAGAUAGAUAGAUAUAGAUAUAGAUAAUAGAUAUUAAUCAAAUUUGCAAAUGUUGUUUUGUUAAAUUAUGAAAGGUAUAUAGAGGAAAGUAAUAGGGAACCAUGGCAGAGAAAAACAGAAACAACAUAAUCAAGUGUCAUUAUAUGAAAUGACAGAAGAAAUGUAUGCCAUUUGUAUGAAAGACAUAAGUAAAUGUUUGAAUCCUUUCAACAAGCCAGGUACAAUCACUUCAAAAAUAUUGGAAUGAAAAGAGAUUCUCAAAAGAGAUAUGCAUUCCGUAAGGGACUUUGGUAGCAGAUAUGAAAGGGAAAUUGGUGGAUUUUCUUUUAAGGAAUCUAUGUUUCUUAUUUCCAGAUUAAUGUAAACAAGGAGCAGUGUGCUUCCUUUACAUGUCCUUAUUAACGACUAUUGAGGGCAAGGUAAAGCAUUAAAAGAAAGAAGCAUUAAACAAUUCUGAAAUGCUUUCAAGAUAUGUUAGCUGCUCCCAAGAUUCCAAGUUAUCAGUAUGGAGUCCUACUUACUCCUUCUACAAGGCAAAGUUUCCCAUCCUGAGAAACCAAGAUUUCUUUAGAACCGCAACCGGUCCAAGUCCUUGGUAACUUCUGAGACACAUGCAUUUUCCCUUCAGUGAGAAAAUAGCUAAUAUGUAUCGUGUGUCAAUCUUCAAAUAAGGUCCUUCACAUUCCAGUCAUCUUUGUUAGUUAACAUACUAAGUCUUCUUGUCACCAACACAUGCUCUACUCUUCCCUCUUCCUCCCAAAUUUUUCAACUGUGUUCUCUGGAACACCAAUCUGACUAGCCACAUCAACUUCCUGAAAAAUGCAUCUUCCACUUUGGUUAGAACUCUAAAGUUCCAAUGUGAGGUCUGUGAACAAUGCUUCAUGGGCUCAGUAACAUGCUUACAAAUAUUAAUUUUUAAAUUUUCUUUCUGUUAUUUUAAAAUAUGACUUUUUUAAAAAGUUGCCAUAUUAUAAGAGUAUCAUCUACUUAAAAGGUCUAGGUUGCUUUGUGUAUAUAAUCAAGUACUAUAAGAUCAUCACUAAAACCAUAUUACGAUGUCUAGAAUUGUUUUCUAUUGACAAAAAUUAAAUAAAAGUCUGUUUUAUGAUUAAAGAGAUCUAUCA
ensembl:lncRNA